GGGGGUGAAACGGGUUCGACGCACUGGCGGACGAUGAAGGUGGCAUGUCCCGGGGCCGUUGGCCGGGUUAUCAAGCGGCAAAAUUGUAAUCGCAAACCAAGACGAUUACGCAACAAUCGCAUUAGCCGCUUAAGCUGAUGCGCCUGACUAGGGUGGGCUCAUUAUCCUAGAAAGGCUAUUACAAGUGGGCUAGGAAUUUAGGUCUGUCUUGAGCUUAAGUUCCGAAACUACAUCCGGGCUCGUCAGUCUGUUUCCUGUCUGGGGGAGUGCAGCUGAUUAAAUACAAUUCUCAGGCUACACAUUGUAGAUGCCUUCUUUUUUCACUUUGCGGACGGGGGUUCGACUCCCCCCACCUCCACUC
rnacentral:tmRNA from 1 species